rnacentral:rRNA from 1 species
GGCCUUGACAUACUAAGAACUUUCCAGAGAUGGAUUGGUGCCUUCGGGAACUUAGAUACAGGUGCUGCAUGGCUGUCGUCAGCUCGUGUCGUGAGAUGUUGGGUUAAGUCCGCAACGAGCGCAACCCUUUUCCUAUUUGCCAGCGGGUAAUGCCGGGAACUUUAAGGAUACUGCCAGUGACAAACUGGAGGAAGGCGGGGACGACGUCAAGUCAUCAUGGCCCUUACGGCCAAGGCUACACACGUGCUACAAUGGUCGGUACAAAGGGUUGCUACCUCGCGAGAGGAUGCUAAUCUCAAAAAGCCGAUCGUAGUCCGGAUCGCAGUCUGCAACUCGACUGCGUGAAGUCGGAAUCGCUAGUAAUCGCGGAUCAGAAUGCCGCGGUGAAUACGUUCCCGGGCCUUGUACACACCGCCCGUCACACCAUGGGAGUUUGUUGCACCAGAAGUAGGUAGUCUAACCGCAAGGAGGACGCUUACCACGGUGUGGCCGAUGACUGGGGUGAAGUCGUAACAAGGUAGGCGUAGAUGA